CAAAUCCUAUAGGCUUUUGCUAGGAUACACCCACUUAGUUUUUAGAAGGAGUAUUUUAGCAAGUGAAUAACUAAAAAAUAG
rnacentral:pre_miRNA from 1 species